GGUAUGGCAACAUAGUGCGUGUUAACUUCUUAGAGGGACAUGUCCGGUUUACGGGCAGGAAGUUCGAGGCAAUAACAGGUCUGUGAUGCCAUUAGAUGUUCUGGGCCGCACGCGCGCUACACUGAUGGGUUCAUCGUGUUUUAAUUUCAUUUUUGGAAUUGAGUGCUUGGUCGGAAGGCCUGGCUAAUCCUUGGAACGCUCAUCGUGCUGGGGCUAGAUUUUUGCAAUUAUUAAUCUCCAACGAGGAACC
rnacentral:rRNA from 1 species